rnacentral:rRNA from 1 species
UACGGAGGGGGCUAGCGUUGUUCGGAAUUACUGGGCGUAAAGCGCGCGUAGGCGGACCUGCAAGUCGGGGGUGAAAGCCCGAGGCUCAACCUCGGAACUGCCUUCGAUACUGCGGGUCUCGAGUCCGGGAGAGGUGAGUGGAAUUCCUAGUGUAGAGGUGAAAUUCGUAGGAUAAUCUGGAGGAACACCGGUGGCGAAGGCGGGGUCUCUGGACAGGUUCCUGACGCUGAGGCACGAAGGCCAGGGGAGCAAACGGG